AAAUGAAUCUGUGCCUUGGGCAGCAGGAGCUUUCCUAGAGGAGACUGAUGGAUUGCUUCUAAUAUUGAGGCUGGUACAAGGACUCCUCAAGGAUUUGUCUCCAGCUUUGCUUCCUCUUGUACAACUAAACACCAAUCUGGACACCUACAGAGAAGAAAGAGAUCACUACUGCCGAAGAACUGCUGUACAAUUACCCUGACUUAAGUCUAUCCCAGCUCCCAUGAUAGUUCAGACCCAACUUGGAGAUUUGCUAUAUACUUGUGAAAAUGCACUGGAGGCAGUGGAAGGAUAAAAGGACUUCAUAGAGUUUUUUG